CAAAUACUAGUUCUUAUAUGAUCACUGAAGUUAAGCAACAUUGAGCCUGGUCAGUACUUAGAUGGGUGACUCCUUGGGAGUACAAGGUGCUGUAA